rnacentral:rRNA from 1 species
CCUACGGGAGGCAGCAGUGAGGAAUAUUGGUCAAUGGACGCGAGUCUGAACCAGCCAAGUAGCGUGAAGGAUGACUGCCCUAUGGGUUGUAAACUUCUUUUAUAUGGGAGUAAACUGUUCCACGUGUGGGUUUUUGUAUGUACCAUAUGAAUAAGGAUCGGCUAACUCCGUGCCAGCAGCCGCGGUAAUACGGAGGGUGCAAGCGUUGUCCGGAAUCAUUGGGCGUAAAGGGUUCGUAGGCGGCAUGUUAAGUCAGGUGUUAAAGGCGCAGGCUCAACCUGUGUAUUGCACUUGAUACUUUCAAGCUGGAAUGCGGUAGCGGUAAAGGGAAUGCCUGGUGUAGCGGUGAAAUGCUUAGAGAUCAGGAGGAACAUCGGUGGCGUAAGCGCUUUACUGGGCCGUAAUUGACGCUGAGGAACGAAAGCGAGGGUAGCAAACGGGAUUAGAUACCCGUGUAGUC